UUUUCUAGAUUUCCUAUAUCUGCGAGUUGAAUUUCAGUCCUGAGAAAUUGGUUGAUUGUAUUUUAGGCAGUGACUGCUUGUUGACUGGGGACAUCUAGUGGGAAAAGGCAGCAGUUCAGUCUGGUCGUGUGUGAGAUUAUUAGGUAAACGAAAAGAAGAGGAAGUUACCACAUUCUGGAAGAUUUACUUGUGACCAUCAGAGGGAUGGUCUGAAGAAAGAAAAAGGUUCUGAGUACAGGAAGAGGUUCUACAAUUUAGGGAAAAAACAACUUCGGGAAGAAUGUGGUAAUGGGGAGAGGCUGGGGUAAAUCCCAGUUGUGAAACUUAUUUCCUGUAAGACAACACAUGACACCUCUGAAUGCCUCUUCAGUAUUUUAAAAGCAGCUUAAAUGCCAGUCCUUGUGCAAUAGAAGCUUUGCUUGUUUAGUGAAAGCUUCUGGGAAAAAAGCUUUACUUUAUCACAAUAUAUUCUGUGUUC
rnacentral:lncRNA from 1 species